rnacentral:lncRNA from 1 species
CCAGGCUGGAGUGCAAUGGCACCAUCUCGGCUCACUGCAAGCUCCGCCUCCCGGGUUCACGCCAUUCUCCUGCCUCAGCCUCCCGAGUAGCUGGGACUACAGGCGUCCGCCACCACGCCCGGCUAAUUUUUUUGUAUUUUUAGUAGAGACGGGGUUUCACCGUAUUAACCAGGAUGGUCUCGAUCUCCUGACUUCGUGAUCCACCCGCCUCAACCUCCCAAAGUGCUGGGAUUACAGGCGUGAGCCACCGUGCCAGGCCUUAAGUGAUUAAAAUAUAUUAAAAGGGAAAAUGAAUUCAAACUGAAUGCAGCAUGAAUUCUAAAUGCUAAAAUGAAAACAC